AAAGUCGUAACAAGGUAACCGUAGGUGAACCUGCGGUUGGAUCAUUACUGAUUACUGUUUGAGCUUUGAGAGUUCCCUUUUUUGUUAAAGGUUGAGCUUUCCUAGCCAAACACAAACCUUUGUGCAAUGUAAUGUUUCUCGGCAGUUAUCUUCUGGGUAGCUGUCGAAAGUAUUUAACCACUGCUUAACCUUUGCUGAAAUUUUAUAAGUAAUUAUAAACAACUUUUGACAACGGAUCUCUUGGCUCUC
rnacentral:misc_RNA from 1 species